GGGGAAUUAGCUCAAAUGGUAGAGUGCUUGCUUAGCAUGCGGGAGGUAGUGGGAUCGAUGCCCACAUUCUCCA
rfam:Salmo salar isolate Sally breed double haploid chromosome ssa27, whole genome shotgun sequence.